AGCUAGGUCUAACAUUGUUAGGUUGUCAGCUUCUUAGAGGGACUAUCGGUGUUUAACCGAUGGAAGUUUGAGGCAAUAACAGGUCUGUGAUGCCCUUAGAUGUCCUGGGCCGCACGCGCGCUACACUGAUGAAGUCAUCGAGUUCAUUUCCUUUAUCGGAAGAUAUGGGUAAUCUUUUGAAACUUCAUCGUGCUGGGGAUAGAGCAUUGCAACUAUUGCUCUUGAACGAGGAAUCCCUAGUAAGUACAAGUCACUAGCUUGUGCUGAUUACGUCCCUGCCCUUUGUACACACCGCCCGUCGCUACUACCGAUUGAAUGGCUUAGUGAGGCCUUCGGAUUGAGAUUCGGAGUUUGGCAACAGACCCUGGGUUUUAAAAAGUUGGUCAAACUUGGUCAUUUAGAGGAAGUAAAAGUCGUAACAAGGUUUCCGUAGGUGAACCUGCGGAAGGAUCAUUACCGAUUUUAGCGAACCUGACCUUUUGGGUCAUGGUCUCGCGAAAACUUUGUAUUUAAAACCCCACUCUUUGUAAUAUAAAUGAAUCAUUUAUUAUUGUAAUAAUAAAUAAAGAUCACUUUCAACAACGGAUCUCUUGGCUCUCGCAUCGAUGAAGAACGUAGCGAAGUGCGAUAAGUAAUGUGAAUUGCAGAAUUCCGUGAAUCAUCGAAUCUUUGAACGCAAAUUGCACUCUCUGGCAUCCCGGGGAGUAUGCCUGUUUGAGGGUCAGUGUAAUUAAAAAUCGGUAUGUUGCACUCCUAGUGUGUGUGACGUUCCGGAAUUUGGGUUAUCUUAGACCUUCAUGGUUUAAGAGGUUUAAAAUUGACCAUCUUUUGCGCAUUUUUUAGACGUACAUAAAUUUUUUUUUAUUCGUCUUGAUUGUGCCAAAAUUUUUAUUAGACGCGACCAUAUAUCAUAUGGUUCCCGUGUCUAUAAGUUUUUCAUGAUUUGACCUCAAAUCAGGUGGGAGUACCCGCUGAACUUAAGCAUAUCAA
rnacentral:rRNA from 1 species